rnacentral:rRNA from 1 species
GACGAACGCUGGCGGCGUGCCUAAUACAUGCAAGUUGAGCGCUGAAGGUUGGUACUUGUACCAACUGGAUGAGCAGCGAACGGGUGAGUAACGCGUGGGGCAUCUGCCUUUGAGCGGGGGACAACAUUUGGAAACGAAUGCUAAUACCGCAUAAAAACUUUAAACACAAGUUUUAAGUUUGAAAGAUGCAAUUGCAUCACUCAAAGAUGAUCCCGCGUUGUAUUAGCUAGUUGGUGAGGUAAAGGCUCACGAAGGCGAUGAUACAUAGCCGACCUGAGAGGGUGAUCAGCCACAUUGGGACUGAGACACGGCCCAAACUCCUACGGGAGGCAGCAGUAGGGAAUCGUCGGCAAGGGACGAAAGUCUGACCGAGCAACGCCGCGGGAGGGAAGAAGGUUGUCGGAUCGUAAAACUCUGUUGGUAGAGAAGAACGUUGGUGAGAGUGGAAAGCUCAUCAAGUGACGGUAACUACCCAGAAAGGGACGGCUAACUACGUG